GGGGUUGUAGCCCAGUGGUAGACUGCUUGCCUCCUGUGCAUGAGGCCCUGGGUUUGAUCCUCAGCACCUCA
rnacentral:tRNA from 1 species